rnacentral:tRNA from 1 species
GGAGGGGUGCCGGAGUGGUUGAAACGGGCCGGUCUUGAAAACCGGAGGCCCUUAGCGGUCCGUGGGUUCGAAUCCCACCCCCUCCGCCA